rnacentral:sRNA from 1 species
GCAGGCCAGCCGGGCC